UUAUGUGUUGCAGUUUCUUGUUUCGCUUCUUCCUUCCCCAAACAUUCCAUCCACCUGCGUCCUGCUAGGGUUUAGCACCGCCUUUUUACUCGUCGAUGUUGCCUGCUUUUCCGUUGCCCCCAAACGGUCGUAGGUCAUCCCACUUUCUACCCGGGGAUUAUCGCCGCUCUUCUUGACAAGCCGCCAACGAGGCUUUGCCAGUUCAAUUAAUUGAGAACAUCUUCACAGAUAACAUUUUACAGAUUGAGGUGUGCAAAAGAUUGGUACAUCUCAAGGCUCCUUAUGUCAGAAGUUAUCUCCACAAAAAUGGUUGGUUUGUCAUCCGCCAAGUUCCCAUACAACCAGUCAUAUCGACCAUUCAAAUGUACGCGUUUGUCAUACAACCAUAUAUUGUAGAAGUAAAAAGAUUUUCUGCAUACUCUCAUUAUUUCCUUGAUAUUCAGAAGGAAAAAAAAAUGUUAAAGAUCACUUCGUCACGAAGGUUGCAGAGCUCACUCCAGAUACAAAAGACUGGACUAUAAGAGUUAUGCUUCUUGAAUUCUUAGCAGAGCGUGUGUCUGGAUGUACUGGAAAACAUUACAAACGGUUUAUCUUUGUUGAUGAUCAGGCGUGUGCGUUUCAUCCGGAUCUUAGCCUUAUAGAUGAUUGCCUGGAGCUUUACAAGUCCUAUGAUCUCUGCACAGAAACCUAGCAGCCCUUCACAAUAAACACUAUGAAAGGUUACAAUACAUGUGUCCAAUUUUUCUUAAAUAGGAGACCAAGCAUCAAUCCUAUCACCGAUUCUCCAAUUAAUGCCAUGGUGGGGAAGCCAACAUUCAUACAAUACUCUGUCACCAAUACCUGGAAGAAAAAAAAAUUAUAUAGGUAAUAUUACUUUUUACAGUAACAAGGGUUGCAAACAACAUGUAUAUUUGGUCUAUGCAUAAUUUUAUAUUUAUAUCCAACAUUUUCAUUUUCCUCAAUGCCUUACUCACUUGACAGAUGUUGUAGGAAUUGUCAUUGACAUGGAAGAGCCCAAAAGAAAGGGGUUUUACUGCCUGCAAGAAAUGAUCAUUGUUUCACAACUCCUUUUUAUUCAAUUCACUUCACUUUAUUUAUUCACAAUAGAAAUGACUAUUUCUUUCUUUUAAUUCUAGAAAAACACAUACAAGAAUUACUAUGUUGAAUGAUGUUUUGUAAAUAUUGAAGGCAAAUUUUUCACUGCACUUAUGGAUAAUUGUCCAAUAAUUGCAGCGCUCAACGUUCGCCCCUUACAUCUUGAUGGAAACUUAAAAAUAUGGCCUACUUGGAUGUUCUUGUUCUGAAAAAAGAUUACUUUAAUGAAAAGUUUUUACGUUUGGGUUUCGUCGAAGCUGGCAAAACUACAACCAUUUCUCAUAUGCUUGCAUCUACAAGGAAUGGAGAAUUUCACUGCAAAGCUUCCUUCCAAAUUACCAUCAAUUCAACAAUGAAGCUGUCAUAUAAAGCAUGUGCAAAAUGCCACACCCCCAUCAUGACACAUGACAAACACAAGUUCAAAUGCUUCUGUUGUGCAAACAUUCAAGUUUGCGAAAUCAGGUUACCUACUCUUUUGUAUGUGCUAAUUACAUAGUGUUCAAAAGUCCAUUUCUCAUUAUAUGUAUUUUCUGUAUGUACCUCUUGCGUGGGGAACUGCGAGACUCAACAAAAUUUGUUAAAUGCGUUGCUUAUGAUGAACUUUCAUCCCAAUUACUCAACAUUGACACAAGUGAGAUAGCUCACCAAUCUAAUAAGGAUAUCAUUGCAAUAUGUCAUCUGCGAAACAUGUCUUUUUCGUGGACAUUGAAGUUUCAAACAUUUCAACGAAGAAAGUCCAACAUCUACAGGUGUUCAAAGCCCGGCGAAGAUAUCCAAAUCUAGAGGACAAAAAGUAAUCACCACAUCUGCUCACAACCCCACCAGUAAUAUGCAAUAGCAAGAUAAAAUAAGAAAAAAUGCAAAAAAAUAAAUAUUAUUAUAAUGUUAGAUUCCUCGAUGUUUUCCUUCUACAUUUUUUUUUUUUUUUGGUUGCUAAAAAUGUGUGAAACCUUGGUGUGUUUUGGAUUGCUCCAACUACAACUUUCAUAUUAAGGUGAUAUACUUGUCAAAAACUAUAUUUUGUUGCAUUGCUUCAAGAAAUAUUAUGCUUA